rnacentral:lncRNA from 1 species
CUCCUGCAGCGAGCGAGCGAUGCGUUGGCAGUGAGUGGGGAGGGCGCACGUGUGUGACAGGCGCCAGGCGCCGCGCACAGAAGUUGGCUUAUGGUACGGCAACAUCAGCACGCCGCGAAUCCUGGCCCUACCGUUCCAGCCCCUAUUAAACCGAUUGGUAUGGGGGCGGUUACCGGGCGGUCACCCUCAUAAACCGAUGGUCAGCGUCGGUUAGCAUCGGUCAGGAUUGGUAUGGGUUGGCUGAUCGGUAAAACCUCGGUAAACUUUGAUAAAAUGGUAACUUCCUGGUAACCCAUUGGUAUGUGGCUCCUGCCCAGCCCUUGUCCAGGCUCUGCCCAGGCUCGCGCAGCCCCCACCCAGAUGCCGCCCAGGCCCGCCCAGCUGCCGCCCAGGGCCGCCCAGGGCCGCCCAGCCGCCGCCCAGGCCCGCCCAGCUGCCACCCAGGCCCGCCCAGCCUGGCCAGGGCCUGCCCCCAGCGUAGAUGCGUGCAGCUCUGGCCGCGGCCGUGACACACCAAAACACAUACAGGCCCGCUUCAUGAGAUAGGUCCGGUGCACUGCCAAGCACUCUGUUCUUGGCCGGCAGCCUUGCAUUGGCAUUGGCACCUUGCGGCAGGAGUGCAGGGUGUGUUCACAUGUGUGCACGCGUGCAUGCAGGUGCAGCCAGUGGAGGCAGAACUACAGGAGCUAGCAUGACACGAGCUGUCCGGCACUAGAGUUGGAGACGGGCGCGGUGGCACCAGUGGCGGCUGCUGUGGAGGCGGGUGAUGUGCCGACUGCAGUGGAGGCGGGUGUCAAGGUGGUGGGAGACGUCAUGCCCAGCAGACACGCCAGUGGUUGUUGUUGCACGUUUGACACAUCCAUACCAUUUAGACAUCAUAUGACAGGCUUGGGUUAAUGGCACAGACGUAAUAUAGUGUUGUAGACAGUGGCAGACCAGGAGAGCAAGACUGUGGUGGGCUUUGAAUGCACGGAGACUCAGCUGGAGAGUGCCAAGGAGUAGGGAAGCAGACUAACUGAGUAUGGUGUUGUUGGUGAGUUGGACUGGGAACACAAGGCAGGUGACCUCCUCGCUGCCCUGCCGCCGUUGGUCUCUUGGGCACGAGGUGAAGUACAUUGAUGCAGUCAGUGGAAUGCAGUAGUAUUGGUGCGUGGGGGCAGUUGACAUGGGUUGGGCACUUGGUACAAAAUGCAGCAGGCUGAUGUGUGUGGUCACUGCUAGGGCGGGGCUUGUAUAUCAUGGCAGCAUCAUGUAAAGGAGACACUUUACAGGCCACAAUGAACAACCCUAAACCCAGGCUGGCAGGCGGGCUGGGCGGGGGCUGGGCGGCAUGCAGCUGGGCGGGGGCUGGGCGGGCCUGGGCGGGGGCUGGGCGGGCCUGGGCGGGGGCUGGGCGGCAGGCGGCAGCUGGGCGGGCCUGGGCCGCAGCACGGUAACCAAGCGGUCACUGCAAGGUAACCAGUUGGUCCGACACUGGUUACCACGCGGUCUGUUAACCGCUGGUAACCAGUGAGGCGGUCUAUUAACCGUCGGUUAGCGGCCUCAAGCCCAAAUAAACCGAUGGUAACCCGAGUGCCAAACCGGCCAUUCCCCCCGGGAUAACCGCUGGGUAACCAGCGAUUAACUGAUGGUUUAAUAGGGGCUGGAACGGUAGGGUGGCAGGACGCCCGCGGCAUACAUUUUCACCCGCACGUGGGCACCCACACGCGCCAUUGCUUCUUGCUGCCGGCGCCCGCCCCGCCCUGCCCUCAUCAUCAGCCCUCAUCAUCAGCCCUCAUCGGCAGCCCUCAUCAUCAGCCCUCAUCAGCAGCCCUCAUCAGCAG